AAAAAAAUGAGAAAAGUAGGAAAAAUUAGAAGUAAAAAAAUGAGAAAAGUAGGAAAAAUUAGAAGUAAAAAAAUGAGAAAAGUGGGAAAAAUUAGAAGUAAAAAAAAUAAGAAAAGUAGGAAAAAAUAGAAGUAAAAAAUGAGAAAAGUAGGAAAAAUUAGAAGUAAAAAAAUGAGAAAAGUAGGAAAAAUUAGAAGUAAAAAAUGAGAAAAGUAGGAAAAAUUAGAAGUAAAAAAAUAGGAAAAGUAGGAAAAAUUAGAAGUAAAAAAAUGAGAAAAGUAGGAAAAAUUAGAAGUAAAAAAUGAGAAAAGUAGGAAAAUUAGAAGUAAAAAAAUAGAAAAAGUAGGAAAAAUUAGAAGUAAAAAAUGAGAAAAGUAGGAAAAAUUAGAAGUAAAAAAUUAGAAAAGUAGAAAAAAUUAGAAGUAAAAAAAUUAGAAAAGCAGGAAAAAUUAGAAGUAAAAAAAUAGAAAAGUAGGAAAAAUUAGAAGUAAAAAAAUAGGAAAAGUAGGAAAAAUUAGAAGUAAAAAAAUAAGAAAAGUAGAAAAAAUUAGAAGUAAAAAAAUUAGAAAAGUAGAAAAAAUUAGAAGUAAAAAAAUGAGAAAAGUAGGAAAAAUUAGAAGUAAAAAAAUGAGAAAAGUAGGAAAAAUUAGAAGUAAAAAAAUUAGAAAAGUAGGAAAAAUUUGAAGUAAAAAAUGAGAAAAGUAGGAAAAAUUAGAAGUAAAAAAAUGAGAAAAGCAUGAAAAAUUAGAAGUAAAAAAAUGAGAAAAGUAGGAAAAAUUAGAAGUAAAAAAUGAGAAAAGUAGGAAAAAUUAGAAGUAAAAAAAUUAGAAAAGCAGGAAAAAUUAGAAGUAAAAAAAUUAGAAAAGUAAGAAAAAUUAGAAGUAAAAAAAAUAGAAAAGUAGGAAAAAUUAGAAGUAAAAAAAUUAGAAAAGCAGGAAAAAUUAAGAGAAGUAAAAGUAUAGAAGUUAAAAAAGGAAAACUAUUAAAACAAAAGAAAGGCGAUACACAUGGAAAGAAAAGGGAAAUGUGUGACUAAUUCUACUGAAAUUGAGAUGAGUCGGAGAGAAUAAAACCAAAAUGAGAAAAUCGGAGAUGCUAGCCUCCACCAGAACAAAGGAAGAAAUACUCGGGGAAAUAUUCAAGAGGAAGGACGAGAUGGUGAUUCCGAGGAGAUGAAAAGAAGGAAGGAAAAACAGAUACACAGCCCUGUCCACUCACACAACGGAAGAAACGCACGGAAAAGAAAGAAAACGAGAACGGCAUUGCUUAGAUAAAAGAAAAAGAAAGAGAUAAACAGAUAAGGAUAGAGGGGGAGGUAACAUUCACUACUAGUACUAACAGAGCCCAACCUAGAGACACUACAGCAAAAACACCAGUUCUAGGAUAAAAUAAACACUAGUAAAUCACACCACGACAAUGAGAAAUCGAAAAAAAAAUAAAAAAAGGAUAAAUCGAGCAGCUUAAAUAUUCCAGGGAGGACACGAGAAGACAUACGAAGAGAGAAGGAUGGAGAAUAACAAUAGGUGAAGGAGAGUUAGAAAAAGGAAUACAAAGAGAAAGAUCAGAAAAGGGGGAGAAGGAUAGAUGAUAACAGUGGGUGAAGGAAAGGAGAGGGAGAAAAAGGAAUACCAAAAGAAAGAUCAGAAAAGGAGGAGAAGGAUAGAUGAUAACAGUGGGUGAAGGAAAGGAGAGGGAGACGAAGGAAGAGA